ACGACUACAUAUCAGGCAUAUCAAUAAGCGGAGGAAAAGAAACUAACAAGGAUUCCCUUAGUAACGGCGAGCUGAAGCGGGAAGAGCUCAAAUUUGAAAUCUUCAAGGUUCUACCUUGACGAAUUGUAGUUUAAAGAAGUGUUUUCUGUUAGAGGAGUAGCAAAAGUUCCUUGGAAUGGGACAUCAUAGAGGGUGAGAAUCCCGUAUUUGGUUAUUCUUUCUAGCUUUGUGAUACACUUUCAAAGAGUCGGAUUGUUUGGGAAUGCAGUCCAAAAUGGGUGGUAAAUUUCAUCUAAAGCUAAAUAUUGGCGAGAGACCGAUAGCGAACGAGUACCGUGAGGGAAAGAUGAAAAGAACUUUGAAAAGAGAGUUAAACAGUACGUGAAAUUGUCAAAAGGGAAGCGUUUGACACCAGUGUUGUUUUUCCGGAAAUCAAUUAAGAAGGGCUUGAUUUUGUGUUGUAUUGACCUUAUCAGCUUUCUUCACUCUUUUUCGAGUCUUUCUUAAUGCACUUUUCGGUUAACAAGUCAACAUCAAUUUCUUUUGUUGUAAAAGGGUAUUUGGAAGGUGGCUUUCUUUUCGGAGAAAGUGUUUAUAGCCUUAUACCUCUACAAUCGGAGAGAUUGAGGUCUGCAGCGUAGAUCCUUCGGGGCUAGAUACACUUGUGCUAAGUUAUAGCUUUUCAUAGACAACUUGUUGACUAUGUUUAGUCAUGUAGCUUACCCGCUUGUGCUAUUUUACCUACGCUUAGGAUGUUGAUCUACAGAGCGAGAGU
rnacentral:rRNA from 1 species